UAGUCAUAUGCUUGUCUCAAAGANUAAGCCAUGCAUGUCUAAGUAUAAGCAGAUUAUACUGCGAGACUGCGGACGGCUCANUAAAACAGUCACAAUCUAUUCGAUGAUUCUACUACUCGGAUAACCGUAGUAAUUCUACAGCUAAUACGUGCAUAAACCUGACUUCUAGUCGGGGUAUUUAUUAGAUCACCUAACGCCAAUGCGAGUUCUGCUCGCCCAGACGAAUCAUAGUAACUUCUCGGAUCGGCUAAUGCGCCGACAGAUCGUUCGAAUUUCUGCCCUAUCAGCUUUCGAUGGUAGGAUAGGGGCCUACCAUGGCUUUAACGGGUGACGGAGAAUUAGGGUUCGAUUCCGGAGAGGGAGCCUGAGAAACGGCUACCACAUCCAAGGAAGGCAGCAGGCGCGCAAACUACCCAAUCCCGACUCGGGGAGGUAGUGACAAGAAAUAACAAUAGACGGCCUCUAAUGGUGUCUAAUGGGAAGGAGACCAAUUUAAAUCCCUUAACGAGGAUCAAUGGAGGGCAAGUCUGGUGCCAGCAGCCGCGGUAAUUCCAGCUCCAAUAGCGUAUACUAACGUUGUUGCAGUUAAAAAGCUCGUAGUGGGAUUUCUUUCAUUCUCUCUCAUGGCUCUCCUUCCAGGAGAUGCCAGGGAAAGGUGAAAAAAUUUGUCUUAAUGCAUGCGUCUACUUAACUGUGGACGUAGGUUGAAAGACUCGUUUACUUUGAGAAAAUUAGAGUGUUCAAAGCAGGCAUUCGCCUUGAAUAUGUUAGCAUGGAAUAAUAGCAUAGGACCUCGGUUCUAUUUGUUGGUUGUUCACGAACUGAAGUAAUGAUUGAUAGGGACGGUUGGGGGCAUCCGUAUUCUCAAGCGAGAGGUGAAAUUCUUGGACCUUUGGAAGACGAACAGCUGCGAAAGCGUUUGCCUAGGACGUUCUCUUUAAUCAAGAACGAAAGUUGGGGGAUCGAAGACGAUCAGAUACCGUCGUAGUCUCAACUAUAAACUAUGCCAGCUAGGGAUCGGCGGAUAUUUUUUAAUUUCGUCGGCACCUUACGAGAAAUCAAAGCAUUUGGGGUUCCCGGGGGGAGUAUGGUCGCAAGGCUGAAACUUAAAGGAAUUGACGGAAGGGCACCCACCAGGAGUGGAGCCUGUGGCUUAAUUUGACUCAACACGGGAAAACUUACCCAGGUCCGGACAUAGUAAGGAUUGACAGAUUGAAAGCUCUUUCUUGAUUCUAUGGGUGGUGGUGCAUGGCCGUUCUUAGUUGGUGGAGUGAUUUGUCUGGUUAAUUCCGUUAACGAACGAGACCCGCGCCUGCUAAAUAGUCGAACGCUCUUCAUGAGUGAUUUGCACUUCUUAGAGGGACCAUCUGUGGCUCACCGGAAGGAAGUUGCGGGCAAUAACAGGUCUGUGAUGCCCUUAGAUGUUCUGGGCUGCACACGGGCUACACUGGAGGGUACAACGAGCGUCAUUCCACGCAUACCCGAAAGGGUUUGCCAAUCUUUGAAUACCCUCCGUGAUUGGGAUAGACCAUUGCAAUUUUUGGUCUUCAACGAGGAAUUCCUAGUAAACGCGCGUCAACAACGCGCAUUGAUUACGUCCCUGCCCUUUGUACACACCGCCCGUCGCCCCUACCGAUUGGGAUGUUCUGAUGAGCUAUUUGGAGGCUAAGUGGUAGGGCGUUAAACCUCGACCACAAGCCAAAAUCUCGCAAAUCCGAAUAUCUAGAGGAAGGAGAAGUCGUAACAAGGUUUCCGUAG
rnacentral:rRNA from 1 species